rnacentral:rRNA from 1 species
CAGUCGCCGCGGUAAUACGAAGGGUGCAAGCGUUACUCGGAAUUACUGGGCGUAAAGCGUGCGUAGGUGGUGGUUUAAGUCCGUUGUGAAAGCCCUGGGCUCAACCUGGGAAUUGCAGUGGAUACUGGGUCACUAGAGUGUGGUAGAGGAUAGUGGAAUUUCCGGUGUAGCAGUGAAAUGCGUAGAGAUCGGGAGGAACAUCAGUGGCGAAGGCGGCCAUCUGGGACAACACUGACGCUGAGGCACGAAAGCGUGGGGAGCAAACAGGAUUAGAUACCCGCGUAGUCCCUGUCUCUUAUAC